GGGCUAUUAACUCAGUUGGUUUAGAGUGUCACCUUGACAGGGUGGAAGUCACUGGUUCGAAUCCAGUAUAGCCCA
rnacentral:tRNA from 2 species